UGCUGUUGUUAAGCUCCUAAAAUGAUUUACGGGAGAUAAACAGAAAGAGCAAGAGUCUAGUUUCAUUAAUAAUUUGGAUCGAUUGUUUGACAUUGCUCGACGAGCUGCAUUAAAUUUUAUUAAAACCGAAGGGGAGUUGGGGGAAGUUGUAAGGCCUGGAUCUGCCUUUGCGAGAGUUAAGAAAGGCAAAAUCGAAGAACCAACCAAGAACCAACAACGGAACCAGAGCCUUCCUUGGAAUCUCAAUCAGCUACCAGCGUUUUUACUAUUGAUAGAGGAGAUGAGAAACCCUCCACUAGUAGAGCGUUUUCCGAGCGAAGUAAAUCAAAAAUAAUGACUCCUAUACUAGCUGCCACCCUAGACCGUAUUGGACUAAGCGACCGAAAUGCAAUGUAUGUUAUUUCUUCGGUUUUAACAAGUGCUGGACUAAACUUAGACGAUUUUACCGUUAGCAGACAAACAAUCUCAAGGGCCCGUGCAGAAUAUCGCGAAGAGAUUGCUUAAAAUAUCCAAAGCAAUUUUGAUCUAAAUGGACCACUUGUUGUACAUUGGGAUGAAAAGCUGCUUCAAGAUCUCACAGGUACUGACAAAGUAGAAAGAUUGCCAGUUUUGGUAUCUUCUGGAGCAAAUGUUCAGCUGCUUGGAGUCCCAAAAUUGUCUUCUGGAACUGGUGAAAGACAGGCAAACGAAGUUUGCAAAUUUAUGAAUGCAUGGGAACUAAGCGAUCGCAUCUGUGCAAUUGAAUUUGAUACAACAGCAGCAAAUACAGGAAUUAAAAAAAGCGCUUCUACCCUAAUCGAGAAGCGGAUUGGCAGUGAUUUUUUAUGGCUGGCGUGUAGGCAUCAUAUUGCCGAAGUUUUGAUGACAGCAGCUUGGGAAAAACUAUUUCCUUCAAAAGGCCCUUCUUCAAGUAUUUUUAUAAAAUUUAAAUCGGCAUGGCCUACUAUGGAUCAAUCCUUUGAUGAAAAUAUGGUAGACGAAAACAUUAUUGAGAUCCUUGGU